CACCAGGCGCGAAAACUUUACAAUGCUGGCAACAGCGAUAAGGGGACCUCGAGUGCCAGGAUACAAUCCUGGCUGUCGUAAUGCCUAAAAAGCAUUGCAUAGCAAGGGCCGGGCAAGACCGGUGCCAGCCGCCGCGGUAACACCGGCGGCUCGAGUGGUAACCGCUAUUAUUGGGUCUAAAGGGUCUGUAGCCGGCUGACUAAGUCUCUUGGGAAAUCUGGCAGCUCGACUGUCAGGCUUUCAGGAGAUACUGAUCGGCUCGAGACCGGGAGAGGUGAGAGGUACCUCAGGGGUAGGGGUGAAAUCUUGUAAUCCUUGAGGGACCACCAGUGGCGAAGGCGUCUCACCAGAACGGAUCUGACGGCAAGGGACGAAAGCUAGGGGCACGAACCGGAUUAGAUACCCGGGUAGUCCUAGCCGUAAACGAUACUCGCUAGGUGUCGGCCACGGUGCGACCGUGGUCGGUGCCGUAGGGAAGCCGUGAAGCGAGCCACCUGGGAAGUACGGCCGCAAGGCUGAAACUUAAAGGAAUUGGCGGGGGAGCACAAGGGCGAUUCGCG
rnacentral:rRNA from 1 species